rfam:Pedobacter sp. V48 Contig_13, whole genome shotgun sequence.
UCAGGAGAAACCGAAAACCUGUAACAGAGUAGGUG